rnacentral:rRNA from 1 species
CAGCCGCCGCGGUAAUACAGAGGGUGCGAGCGUUAAUCGGAUUUACUGGGCGUAAAGCGUGCGUAGGCGGCUUCUUAACUCGGAUGUGAAAUCCCUGAGCUUAACUUAGGUAUUGCAUUCGAUACUGGGAAGCUAGAGUAUGGGAGAGGAUGGUAGAAUUCCAGGUGUAGCGGUGAAAUGCGUAGAGAUCUGGAGGAAUACCGAUGGCGAAGGCAGCCAUCUGGCCUAAUACUGACGCUGAGGUACGAAAGCAUGGGGAGCAAACAGGAUUAGAUACCCCUGUAGUCCCUGUCUCUUAUAC